GACGAACGCUGGCGGCGUGCCUAAUACAUGCAAGUCGAACGAAGCUGUUUUAACCGGUGCUUGCACCGACUUAAACAACUGAGUGGCGAACGGGUGAGUAACACGUGGGUAACCUGCCCCAAAGCGGGGAAUAACAUUUGGAAACAGAUGCUAAUACCGCAUAACCACAGAAACCACAUGGUUUCUGUGUCAAAGAUGGUUUCGGCUAUCACUUUGGGAUGGACCCGCGGCGUAUUAGCUAGUUGGUAAGGUAAUGGCUUACCAAGGCAAUGAUACGUAGCCGAACUGAGAGGUUGAUCGGCCACAUUGGGACUGAGACACGGCCCAAACUCCUACGGGAGGCAGCAGUAGGGAAUCUUCCACAAUGGACGAAAGUCUGAUGGAGCAACGCCGCGUGAGUGAAGAAGGUUUUCGGAUCGUAAAACUCUGUUGUCAGAGAAGAACGUGUGCGAGAGUAACUGUUCGUGCAGUGACGGUAUCUGGCCAGAAAGCCACGGCUAACUACGUGCCAGCCGCCGCAGUAA
rnacentral:rRNA from 1 species